CUCUCUCUCACAGAAAUAAAAGAGUAAAAUAAACUGAAUUAAAAUCAAAAUCCUUCUUGUGUCGCUUGUGCUUCCCAACAAACACACACACACACACACAAAAAUACAUAUAUAAAAUAAAUCCAUAAAGGUGUUUAUCUUAUUUUUCUUCUUUCAAUAUAAUUUUUUUCUCCUUUUUUAUUUGCUAUUUUUUUUCUUUUCAUGAAUUUAUUGCUAUCUCUAUUGUUUACACAGGAAGAAGAAGAAGAAGAAGAAGAAGAAGAGGACACACAGAGAGAGAAGAGGAGGAAGAAGAAGAGGAAGGAUUUGUAAUAUGGCAGACAUCAAACCAAUGGAGCUGACCAGCCGCCCCAGAGAGCCCAGCGACCACACCCUGCAAGACAGCCUGCUCAUCCUGGGACACACACAGCCUCACCGUUCAGGCAGGAGACUGACGGGACGAGAACAACAACAACAACAACAACAAGAGGAGGAGG